rnacentral:lncRNA from 1 species
UGUUCUCAGGUGUUCCUGACAAACUCUGCCAACGUGUUCUUGUUGGAGCCGUGUCAGGAUGUGCCCAAGCUGCUGGAGAACCAGCUGGAGGUGUGCCGAGCUGUGCUCAGUGUCUACCGGCACAUUAUUAUGGAGCAAAACAUGAACCGCCCGACCUGGGAGCAGUUGUUGCAGGUGUUGUUGAGAAUCACAGAAGCAGUAAUGAAGAGACCACAGGAGGACCAAAAAAAAGACACGUUCGCCCACAGCCUGGCCAGCAUCCUCUUCAAAACGAUCUUCGUGGCGUGGGUGCGGGCCAACCUGACCGUGUUUAUCUCUCGUGAGCUGUGGGACGAGCUGCUGGCUGUGCUGUCCUCUCUCAGCCACUGGGAGGAGCUGGUGUUCGAGUGGGCCAGCAUCAUGGACUCUCUCACCGCAGUACUGGCCCGUCACGUCUACAGCCUGGACCUCCACAACCUACCGCUGGACAAGCUCUCAGAGCAGAAGGAAAAGAAGCAGCGGGGCAGGGGAGUGAUGCAGGACUCCCAGAAGUCUACAGAUGCAGCACGGUCGUUCUCCUUGAGCUGGAGGAGCUCUGGAGAUCAGGUGGGCACUCAGGAACCCAUGAGGUUCCGCAGUGCCACCACCACUGGAGCUCCCGCUGUGGAGAAAGCUCGCAACAACGUUAGGCAGAAAGCUUCAGAUGUGGAGGAGUGUCAGCUGUCUGAAUGUGAGAUGGGGGAUGGAGACAGUCCUCUGCCCCGCAGCAGUAGCACCUCUGACAUCACACAGCAGAUCAACGACACCUUCCCAGGUCAGAAGAGAGAUGAAUCUGUGUCAGAGAGCAGCUCUACAGGGAAAAGAGAGGGCGACGCUCCCACGAUUCUGAUCCGGCAGAGCAGCAGUCCAGCAGAUCUGGAUUAUCCAGCAGACGGA